AGCAGCCGCGGUAAUUCCAGCUCCAAUAGCGUAUAUUAAAGUUGUUGCAGUUAAAAAGCUCGUAGUUGAAUUUCGGGAUCAAUACGCCUGUCGUGCCUUCGGUACGUACGGGUGUAAUUGGUUUCUACCUUCUGAGGAUCCUUGAUGUCAUUAAUUUGGUGUCUUGGGGAAUCAGGACUGUUACCUUGAAAAAAUUAGAGUGUUUAAAGCAGGCAUACGCUUGAAUACAUUAGCAUGGAAUAAUGAAAUAGGACGUUCGAUUCUAUUUUGUUGGUUUCUAGGAUCGACGUAAUGAUUAAUAGGGAUAGUUGGGGGCAUUAGUAUUCAAUUGUCAGAGGUGAAAUUCUUGGAUUUAUUGAAGACUAACUACUGCGAAAGCAUUUGCCAAGGAUGUUUUCAUUAAUCAAGAACGAAAGUUAGGGGAUCGAAGACGAUCAGAUACCGUCGUAGUCUUAACCAUAAACUAUGCCGACUAGGGAUCGGAUGAUGUUAAUUUUUAAUGACUCAUUCGGCGCCUUAA
rnacentral:rRNA from 1 species